rnacentral:rRNA from 1 species
CACGUAGGGCGCAAGCGUUGUCCGGAAUUAUUGGGCGUAAAGAGCUCGUAGGCGGUCUGUUGCGUCCGCUGUGAAAACUCGGGGCUUAACCCCGAGCCUGCAGUGGAUACGGGCAGACUAGAGGUAGGUAGGGGAGAAUGGAAUUCCCGGUGUAGCGGUGAAAUGCGCAGAUAUCGAGAGGAACACCGGUGGCGAAGGCGGCCAACUGGACAGAUACUGACGCUGAGACACGAAAGCGUGGGGAGCAAACAGG